UGGGAUUUGAGCUCAGGACCUCUGGAAGAGCAGUUGGUGCUCUUAACUACUGAGCCGGCUCUCCAAGCCCAGGUCCUUCUUUUUUAUUACCUCUUAUAUAACUACUUAAUCUUCUGGUUUGUUGAAGCAGUUAAGUCAGACAACCCUUGCCUGACUUAAUGCCUGUCAAAGUGGCUACCCUUGAAAACUCCAGCACCACACUCAUCACAAGGCCGUUCUCGACGUAGCAGCUCUGAGAGAAAAGGUAUCCUGGCAGUCGGGAGCCAAGAAAUACUACCAAGUCACACCACACAACAAACCUCACACAAGAGGUUUAUGGGGAAAGACACCUGAGGGUGCCCACCGCGGCUCUGAGAGAAGCAACAAACAACUAAGCAAGAGGCAGGCUUUAUCUUUCUACCUCAAACGCCUCAUUUAUGAAGAAAGCAGAGUCAGUUGCUCCCCAGACUGCCCAGGAGACACUGGAUGACGCGUGCCUGGACUCCAGAUGUGAGAGGCUCCGGGAAGAGAUUGUGUAAGUCUGAAGCGCAGCCUGGCACACUGUACAUUCUGAGCAGGGUCCCUGCGCCAAACAACCAGAACCACAUAGAUAGUCCUGGACUACUCUGGGCCCCUCCCACCAGCCUGACUCCUCCCAUUCUCUCUGGCAAUCCAGUGUAGUCAUUUUCCAACCCAUUGGUGAUGACAGCAAGCUCACUGCCAGGGACUGGAGUGCUGGGUUUAAAAGCCUGGACCCCUAUCCCAUUCCCAUCUCUAUCCCCAUCCCCACCCCACCCCGUCCCAUCCCCAACAAGGCUGACUUGUCUUCUGAAGUAAGGUUCCUGAUUGGUCUGGAGCCAACCAUAAUGGGCUGGAUCUGCUGGCCGGCACACCGAAAAUCCUCCAGUGUCCACCUCUCCCAGCCCUCGAGUCACAAAUGUGUGCUUCCGCAAGUGGUUCUGGGACUGGAAGGAAACCAUUUUACCAAUGGGACCACCUCCUCCAACCCUUUCCAGAGUUUUAU
rnacentral:lncRNA from 1 species